rnacentral:rRNA from 1 species
AGCAGCCGCGGUAAUUCCAGCUCCAAUAGCGUAUAUUAAAGUUGUUGCAGUUAAAAAGCUCGUAGUUGAAUUUCGGGAUUAAUUUAUUGGUCGUGCUUUUGUACGUACUGGUAUAAUCGGUUUCUCUCUUCUGACGAACUAUAAUGCCAUUAAUUUGGUGUUAUGGGAAAUCAGGACUGUUACUUUGAAAAAUUAGAGUGUUUAAAGCAGGCUCACGCUUGAAUACAUUAGCAUGGAAUAACGGAAUAGGACGUCUGAUUCUAUUUUGUUGGUUUCUAGGAUCGACGUAAUGAUUAAUAGGGAUAGUUGGGGGCAUUAGUAUUCAAUUGUCAGAGGUGAAAUUCUUGGAUUUAUUGAAGACUAACUACUGCGAAAGCAUUUGCCAAGGAUGUUUUCAUUAAUCAAGAACGAAAGUUAGGGGAUCGAAGACGAUCAGAUACCGUCGUAGUCUUAACCAUAAACUAUGCCG